UUUGAAUUAUUCUAUUUCCUUUUGCACUGUGUUAGCUGCGUUGGAGUUAGCUAAUCAAAAUGUGAUAGUGAAGUAGAAUAAUUUCAUUUUGCUAGUGUUUUAUUGGUUGGCUACUACUUGCAGGUGUUGUUCGAUUAAAAUGUCAGCAGGUGAAAACAAGAUGCUUACACUAAUGUCAGCAGGUGUUGCGUUAUCUAUUAGUUACACUAUCUGCAGGUGUUGUUAGAAAUGAAUUGUUAUUGAUGUUCAUAUGCCAUCUUCCUUAUAACUGUCAGAUAAUAUGGGAUAAGGUUGGGGAAUCUGAUGCUGAAAAAGACAGAAUGUUGCUUGAGCUCGAACGAGAAUGUUUAGAGGUGUACUUGAGAAAUGUAGAUCAGGCAAACAAGUGUAGGGCUCAACUGAGGCAAGCAAUUGCUGAUGCUGAGGCCGAGCUUGCUGCCAUCUGCUCUUCAAUAGGUGAGCCUCCAGUACACAUAAGACAAGCAACAGCAAGGUGACGAAACACCUAUGGUGUGGGAAAUGCUCCUUUAUAUAUACAAGUAUAAUUUGCAAAGAUAAAUACAUGUUGUGAGGCAAUUUGCAUUUUUCCUUCUAAUUUGCACCUUGUUUUAUAUUUGCAAGAGUCUUUUCUGCUAACAAAAAGAAUAUGUCAACUGCAGCUCUUGAAGAGCUUCUAAAGCACGUAGUGCCAACUGCAAAGCUACAUAAAGCACAAACAGAGAUGUAGUGGGGAUGUGUUAUACAAUCAAAAUUAUUUUGUUGGUUAGACCUUUUCAUUUCUAUUUGUGGAUUCAUCUAAUUCUCCUUUUACUAUUAAGCAGAAUAGUCCAUUGUUGACAGGGCAAUUAUUGGUAUUUGCAUUCUUCUGAGAUUACUAUAUCCUUUAGCUUUAUUAUUUCAGAUUCAAAUUAUGCUAAGUAAUUGAUGUUUCAGUUAUUCCCUUCUUCAUUCCCUCGGACUAUAUUCAACUAUACGGUAUAUAUGUAACGUUGUGAGAGAGAGCAGAGUUGAAAUAUCUCUUUCAUAUUUCUUUUAUUUAAGAAGCUCGGGUUGGCUAUGUUUUGCAGGUGAACUCGCUCGUGUUGAUGCAGGUUCAUUAUUGUGAUUGAGUUUAUCAUCUUGGCGGAUCAAGUAGAUGGGAGUCGAUGAGCUAUGAGGACUACUACAAACGAGAAGGCUGAAGCAGAGAACGUCGUUUCAAAUGUCUAGCAAGUUGCGCGCAUUUGUAAUAUUUUUUAAUUAAACAUCUAGCUAAAUAGAAUAUAUGUGAAGUUUUCAUUAUAUUUGGAUGAUAAUGUAUGAAUAUUUUGGAUGAUAUAUAAUAUUGUUAUUGUUGA